CACACACACACACACACAGAGAGAGAGAGAGAGAGAGAGAGAAAGAGAGAGAGGUGGGAAAUUGAAAGGAUGUGCUAUGAUUAACCUUCAUUGUCAACUUAACUGGAUUGAAAUCAUCAGUCAUCUGGGAGACUCACCUCUGGUCAUGUCUCAGCGUUUCCAGGGGGUUUUACUGAGGAGGGAUGAUCCUCCCUUCUUAGGUUGCUCCCGUCCAGUUCUGUCAUGAUGAGAAAAGCAACUCAUUCAGAAUGUAAAACACUGAUUGGGAAAUUCAGGCGUCUUCAGGAUAAGAUUCAGGAGGAAAGCGAGGCUGAAAGCAGGGUUGCAGUUGGCAGGCAAAGUUCACAGAAGGGUCAAGUGGACCAGUUGCUUCUUUCAGAAAGUAAGAACACCCUGGGCGGAGCCCUGAGCUCUUUGUGGAUGCUAGUAGUCUCCUGAGCCAGCACAUUCUCCCCCCACUCACCCACCCCCCACCUGUCUUGCUGCCGUCUUUCUUCUUACAGACUGCACGUGGCCAUCAGUUCUUUGGGUACAUCCCCCGACAUGAGCAGACACAGCCGACCCCACUUCGUCCUUUGCUAGUAAUUCCAUCAGUUUACUAGAUGGAGACUUGCCUAGGAGAUCAGGGAGGCACGGUCGAGUGUUUCUGCAAUUACAAGAGUAACUAAUGUAUCCACCGCCUCCUAAAAAUAUCAAAGGGAGCUGGAGAGAGGGCGCAGGAGAGGUUAAGAGCUCUUGUAGAGGACCUGAGUUCAACUCCGAGCACCUGCGUGGCUACUCACAACGAUCCAUAACCCGAGUCCCAGGAGCCGCAUGGGAAACAAACACAUGUAUGAGCAAACCACUCAUAUACAUAAACUAAAAUUAAUAAAUCUUAAAGGACAAAA